AUGGUGUUCAAUGACUUGGAGAAGGCCUAUGAUAAGAUACCGUGGAAUGUCAUGUGGUGGGCCUUGGAGAAACACAAAGUCCCAGCAAAGUACAUUACCCUCAUCAAGGACAUGUACGAUAAUGUUGUGACAAGUGUUCGAACAAGUGAUGUCGACACUGAUGACUUCCCGAUUAAGAUAGGACUGCAUCAGGGGUCAGCUUUGAGCCCUUAUCUUUUUGCCUUGGUGAUGGAUGAGGUCACAAGGGAUAUACAGGGAGAUAUCCCAUGGUGUAUGCUCUUUGCGGAUGAUGUGGUUCUAGUUGACGAUAGUCAGACGGGGGUAAAUAGAAGUUAG
rnacentral:rRNA from 1 species